UGGAUAGCGGCGGACGGGUGAGUAACGCGUGGGAAACCUGCCCUAUACAGGGGGAUAGCCUCGGGAAACCGGGAUUAAUACCCCAUAAAACUUUAUUAUCGCAUGAUAAAAAAGUCAAAGUGAUCAGCGGUAUAGGAUGGUCCCGCGUCCCAUUAGCUGGUUGGUGAGGUAAAAGCUCACCAAGGCAACGAUGGGUAGCCGGCCUGAGAGGGUGAACGGCCACACUGGAACUGAGACACGGUCCAGACUCCUACGGGAGGCAGCAGUGGGGAAUAUUGCACAAUGGGCGAAAGCCUGAUGCAGCGACGCCGCGUGAGCGAAGAAGGCCUUCGGGUCGUAAAGCUCUGUCCUAAGGGAAGAAAGAUGACGGUACCUUAGGAGGAAGCCCCGGCUAACUACGUGCCAGCAGCCGCGGUAAUACGUAGGGGGCGAGCGUUGUCCGGAAUUACUGGGCGUAAAGGGUGAGUAGGCGGCUAAUCAAGUCAGGGGUUAAAGCCCUCGGCUCAACCGAGGUAAGCCUUUGAAACUGAUUAGCUUGAGCGCAGGAGAGGAGAGCGGAAUUCCUAGUGUAGCGGUGAAAUGCGUAGAUAUUAGGAAGAACACCAGUGGCGAAGGCGGCUCUCUGGACUGUAGCUGACGCUGAGUCACGAAAGCGUGGGGAGCGAACAGGAUUAGAUACCCUGGUAGUCCACGCCGUAAACGAUGAGUGCUAGGUGUCGGGGUCGACAGGCUUCGGUGCCGGAGUUAACACAUUAAGCACUCCGCCUGGGGAGUACGGUCGCAAGACUGAAACUCAAAGGAAUUGACGGGGGCCCGCACAAGCAGCGGAGCAUGUGGUUUAAUUCGAAGCAACGCGAAGAACCUUACCAGGGCUUGACAUCCCUAUGAAUAUACUAGAGAUAGAAUAGCUCUUCGGAGCAUAGGAGACAGGUGGUGCAUGGUUGUCGUCAGCUCGUGUCGUGAGAUGUUGGGUUAAGUCCCGCAACGAGCGCAACCCUUGCCUUUAGUUGCCAACAGGUAAAGCUGGGAACUCUAGAGGGACUGCCGGUGACAAACCGGAGGAAGGUGGGGAUGACGUCAAAUCAUCAUGCCCCUUAUGUCCUGGGCUACACACGUGCUACAAUGGUCGGUACAACGGGCAGCCAACCCGCAAGGGGGAGCAAAUCCCAUAAAGCCGAUCCCAGUUCGGAUUGCAGGCUGCAACUCGCCUGCAUGAAGUUGGAGUUGCUGGUAAUCGUGAAUCAGAAUGUCGCGGUGAAUGCGUUCCCGGGCCUUGUACACACCGCCCGUCACACCAUGGGAGUUGGUAAUACCCAAAGCCAGUGAGCUAACCAAUGGAGGCAGCUGUCUAAGGUAGGAUCAAUGACUGGGGUGA
rnacentral:rRNA from 1 species